GAUGAACGCUAGCUACAGGCUUAACACAUGCAAGUCGAGGGGUAACGAGAGGGAAGCUUGCUUUCCUUGUCGACGACCGGCGGAUGGGUGAGUAACGCGUAUCCAACCUGCCCUUCAGUAAGGGAUAGCCUUUCGAAAGAAAGAAUAAUACCUUAUGUGAUCGUCUGAUGACAUCAGACGACGAUGAAAGAUUUAUCGCUGAAGGAUGGGGAUGCGUCCCAUUAGGCAGUAGGCGGGGUAACGGCCCACCUAACCUACGAUGGGUAGGGGUUCUGAGAGGAAGGUCCCCCACAUUGGAACUGAGACACGGUCCAAACUCCUACGGGAGGCAGCAGUGAGGAAUAUUGGUCAAUGGCCGUAAGGUUGAACCAGCCAAGUAGCGUGCAGGAUGACGGCCCUAUGGGUUGUAAACUGCUUUUAAACGGGGAUAAAGUGAGCCACGUGUGGUUUAUUGCAGGUACCGUUUGAAUAAGGACCGGCUAAUUCCGUGCCAGCCGCCGCGGUAA
rnacentral:rRNA from 1 species